ensembl:lncRNA
GCUGCCAUGAAGACGGGUGGCCAGUGCAGUUCUGGGCCAGGUGUGGUGACUUGUGGAUUUUCACGAGCUGACAAUUUACUGGUUCAUCAAUGAAACAAUAUUACAUUAUGAAGAUGUAAGGAAAAAAUCCUACGCUAACAUUGUUGCAGUUUGAAAGGUAAGCCCUUCCCUACAAGAUUAGGAGAUGCUGAUGUUGGGUUAAAGCCAACAGAACAAAAUGCCACGUGGUACAGGCUAAAGGGUUAAGUGACCCCUUGACAUCUUUGACUGUCCCCAAGGUCCUGGCAAGGAUUUCAUUAGCAUGUGAGAGGCUCUGUGUUUCCCUCGUUCUGUCUUUUAAAGUGUAGAAACCUCAUUUUUCAAGAUUUUAAAGCGUUUUAUUCUGAGGGAUAUUCUGACACAUGGGACUUUAUGGUGUUUGUUGCAAUGGUCACGUGGUUCCUUUGGAAAGGUUUUGCUCUUAUAUCUGUUGAUUCCCUACAUUGACCGUUAAGCCAUGGUUGUCAGGACCAGACUGUUUCUCAAAUUUGGUCUUUUGGCGAUGCAUGAGAAGUAAAAUAUUGUUGUUGUUUCUCGUCCUAUACUUGAAAUAGGAAGCCUUCUCUUCUUAAGUUCACCUUCUGCGAUCUUACUAAAAGUUCUUGGCACACAGUCAGUUACCAAUUGGAUGCCUAGUUCUUCCCCAAUAGACCUAGAAGUUAAGUCUCCUUCACUCUGUUUUUGAAGGAAGACCAUGUGAUACUUACGUCUCUAGCUACCAUCAAUUAUCGAACUGGGCUUCUAACCCUGGGUCCCCCCCAUCCCCUUGAGUCCAUGAACCCCAUGGAUAUGACUGUGAUAUGACAAUCAUUAUAUGGAGGGGUCCUUCAACUGGAGAGAGUCUGUGCUUCCAUCAGACUCUCAAACGGGUUCACAACUCAGGAAAAGUGGCAAACCCCUGCCCUCCACAGCUAGCCCUUCCAAGGCAGGAUCGUUGAGUCAUCAGGUACCUGUUACCCCCAGUGCCUGAUGCCUGGGGCAGUGCAGGGGAGUAGGAAAUCGUGCUUUCUCACUGGCAUGGUGCUUCUCCAUCCUACAUGGCACUGAUCCCCCGGGGAUCAGUCAGAUUUUGUGAGCAGCACUCAGCAGGUUCCUGCUUCGAUGUGGAAAAUGGCACUGAAGAGGUGAAUUAUCUCUUGCAUGGCACUCAGGCUGCUUCCUUCGCAAGCUGAGAAUAAUUUCAGGGUGGGCGAAGGAGUCGAUUGAAGUGAGUUUGCGUUUCUCUCUGCUCCUUCAGCUCCAACCAUCAUGAAGUGGCCCCAGAUCAUUCAGUUCCAUGAUUCUGGGAUGUCAUCUGUUGUCUUGUGUAAUAACAUCAGCUUAGUUUUAAUUAUUGGUGAUACUUCAGUCUGUGCUGCUCAAAACUGCAGGUGGGCCCUGCUUUAAGAAAAUGGAAAACCACUUCCACGUUGUACUUCCUGUGCCUUUGCAGAAAGGGGCAAGCAUUUGCACUCUAAAAAUAGCGUGGCUUUAUGAAAUAAUUUAUCACAAGAUUCCUUUAAAUAACUAACUCUCAUAGAGCAUUUAAAAUAUGAUUUGAUUUGAAAAAAUCGAUUGUCCACUCACUCAACUUUUCAAGAAUGCACCUGCCCUGUAAUGGGAGGCGGGAGAAGGGAAAAAAAAGCAGGCGACAAGGAAUGAGGGUCUUAAAUGAGCUGAAGAGGAAUUAAUUUUAAUUUAGAGAAGAAUUUGCUUUUCUAGAGUUUCCCAGGGAAAAAAACCUUCACCUUUCUCACCUCCAAAGUAUAUAAGGAAAGAAAGAAAGAAAGAAACAAACAAACAAACAAAAAAAACCAGGUCAAUUUGAGUUGGGGAAAGAUAAAUCUAUUUCUUCAGUGGGUUGCAUUCUGCAUUAUGCAUGUGCGUACAAGUGAGGUUUGCUUUGAUCUAUUAAGUUUNNNNNNNNNNNNNNNNNNNNNNNNNNNNNNNNNNNNNNNNNNNNNNNAUGCAGCGAUGCUCUUUCCUCUCUAUGGUACCUCCUGGUCUCAGUUCCCCAGCCUGGCGGGAUGCAGCUGAGCAGCAGGAAGUAGCUGAAAAGUGAGCAGGCUUGAUAGGUGCUGAGGGUUUCUUUCUUUUUCUUUCUUUCUUUUUUUUCCCCCUUCUUCUCCUCCAUUUUUGAAAUUCAAAUUGAAUGCAAUUUUCAGCUCAUUUGAGCCAGAAUAUACUGUGGCUGAGCUUCAGUGGCUCUUAAAUUCAAACUCACAGGAGAAAACAGAUAUCAUCUGUCACAGAGGUGGGGGGAGAGGACACUCCUGCAUUUUAUUCAUGGGCGACACAGCUCCGGUAACUAAUUCAACCCCCUCUGACUAAUCGACCAAUCAUUCACCAGCAAACUUAUCAACUAAUCAAUGAAACCUUGAAGACACUCAUCUGAUGAAGUCUGGGAGCGGUUUCCCCCCUCCCUGGAAAGAAAAUAAUUGUUCAAGUCUAUUUUUGUAUCGUUGGUAUUUUAAUACCUGUUUUUGCAAACCGAGACAGAAUAUCAUGCCCAUCUUUUUCUCUGCCCUUCCUGUCUAUUUUUAUUGUUUCCAUCUUUAAUGUCUUUGUCAAUGCAACUUAUUUAUGACUGAGAAUUAGCAGAAAGCUGACUGCUGGCAAAAGGAAGCCAACAUUUUGAGUUUUUUCUUUACUAAACAGAUCGCCUGAAAAAAAAAAAUAGUCUUCUUUCUCGGGGCAACUGUAAGUCCCAAUUAAAAGAGAAAGACCCACUCAUUUACAGAGUGGCUGUUUCAGGAUGGCUGGUGAAUGCCUCUCAGGAAGCUUCAGCCACUGGGUAUGUGCCCAGAGAAACCAAAUGGAUUUGGACGUGUAAGAAUCUGACAUCCCUUCUCUGAUCUGCAAAGGGUGUGAUGCGGCCGUUCUGGUUCUGCAGUGGAGGUUACCAAGGGUGCUCGUCUUUGGCUGUUUUAGGGUAAACCAAAAUUUCCGUGGGAACACGCAAGCCAUUAACUUUCUCUGGCUUUCCUGUUGUUGAGUUUUGUGGGAGACUGAUGCUAUUUCAAAGUAAGUAGGAGCGAAACCAUUUGAUCUCUAAAGACUGUCAUUUCUAAUGAAGUUAGUUCACAGCCAUCACACUUGGAGUUUAAAAAUGUUUUGCAGUAAGUGUAUGAUCAGACCACAUGUAAUUGUACUCAGACCUGUACUCAGGACAAUUGUACUCAGACAAUUGUACUCAGGAGCAUGCGUGUAUGUGUGUUUCCGUGACCCAGAGAUCUCUACGAAUGUGACAGGAAUUUCCAAUCGUUUUCACAUUAUUAAAGGCGUCAACCACUUUACCCCGUUCGUUGCAAUGUGCUUGUGCUUUAGGUUUCUGAUAAACAACAUUUAUGGAAAAAAAAAAAAA